rnacentral:rRNA from 1 species
GACAAACGCUGGCGGCGUGCUUAACACAUGCAAGUCGAACGAAGCUCUGAUCUCUGCGUUUUCGGACAAAGAGAGAAGAUGACUUAGUGGCGGACGGGUGAGUAAUGCGUGAGCAACCUGCCCUUCAGAGGGGGACAACAGCUGGAAACGGCUGCUAAUACCGCAUGACACGGAAUGGAGGCAUCUCUGUACCGUCAAAGAUUUAUCGCUGAAGGAUGGGCUCACGUCUGAUUAGCUUGUUGGUGAGGUAACGGCUCACCAAGGCGACGAUCAGUAGCCGGGACUGAGAGGUUGACCGGCCACAUUGGGACUGAGAUACGGCCCAGACUCCUACGGGAGCAGCAGUGGGGAAUAUUGGG